AACAUUAAGAACUGGCAAAAAUGGCGACCGACGGACAAAGAGACCUCGUCAUAAGCAGCUCAUCUUUUCCUUUUCCCGUUUUCAGCAAUGACUUUUUCCAAGAACUGUCCCUGGUGGCCGUCAUGAUCAUCUUUUUCUCCGUCGUCGUGCUUUCGUUCUCCUCCAUCUCCCUCGGGGCGACGGCAGGAAGAAGAAGAAGAAGAGGACGGAGGGAAACCAUCGCACCGAAUUACCAGUGGCCCUCCCUGACCACAAGGAACAGGCCGAUGCUAUAUAUCUUGUCAAGAGUCAUGAUGGCUGUAACGGACGGACUGAAGCGAUAUGAAGAGGCACCGCCCUCCAGCCUCUGAAUCGCUCUUUUUCUUCUCAUUUUGAUAUAUCCUAUACUGUAUA